UCUCAGGAUACUUUAUUGUGCUUGAAAAUUGACCCGACCCCUCCCGACCCCACCCCUCCCACAAGCCCCACGCUGGCUGUCCAUAAAAAAUAAACAAAAAAAUGGCUUUGUCAUGCUUGAAAUUUCUGUUCAUCUUUGCUGUCCUUUAAAUCUAUAAUGAAAAAAAACAUUUUGUCAUCCUGCUCCAAGAUAUUCAGCCAGCUGCUCAUUCCAACCCAGGCUUCAUGUUGAAUGCAUUUCACCACUGAUUUGACAAUUAUGUUAAGUUCCUCCCACAUUCUAUCCCAUUAGUUGCUCCACGUCAGCAUAUCCUUUUUGUGUGUUUCCAUCAGUUACUCCAAUUCUGUCCGACUUCACACAUGUCACUUCUCCUAUUUGGUUUUCACCGUACUCCUUUUCUAGUUCUUACAUAGUUCUUGCCUCCCACAAAAUUCCUCCUCUAUCAUGCAAGAAAUAAUCAUCCUCUGUUGUUCUUGAUAAUUAAUUCCCCUCGUUAUCUAAAUCAAAAAACAAUGCCAUCUUUGUUAUGCUUCAGGACUGAAUCUGUCCUUGCUAUUCUCCAUCUCUUAAUCGAAUAAAAAACCAUCCUGACCCCAACCAUAAAUAAAAAAAAAAUUGUCAUGCUGCUCCAACAUAUUCAUCCAAUUGUUCAUUCUGAACCGCGCUUCCUGUUGGAUGCACAUUAUAUUCCACCCAGUGGGCAAUUCUUGGAAUGAAAACAACCAUCCUGCAGAAUUUGCAACAUUUGUAGUAGCUUUCAUGAAUUUGUUCCUUUGUUUGAAUCAUGGAGUGCUCAUUAUGUUGUGGCUUUGUCUCUUAAAUAAAUAUCGACAUGAACUUGUUUGACUCUUGGAGUGCUCAUUAUAUUGUGCUCAUUAUGGAUUUCUAUAAUGAAACAUAUGCUGUUGAUCAACUUUUAUCAACUUUGAAUUAUUUAUGUGCAUGAGAAGACAUUUAGCAUAAUUUAAA